AUUGAACGCUGGCGGCAUGCCUUACACAUGCAAGUCGAACGGCAGCACGGGAGCAAUCCUGGUGGCGAGUGGCGAACGGGUGAGUAAUACAUCGGAACGUGCCCAAUCGUGGGGGAUAACGCAGCGAAAGCUGUGCUAAUACCGCAUAAGAUCUACGGAUGAAAGCAGGGGACCGCAAGGCCUUGCGCGAAUGGAGCAGC
rnacentral:rRNA from 1 species